rnacentral:tRNA from 2 species
GCCUGUGUAGCUCAACCGGAUAGAGCAUAAGACUCUUAAUCUUGGGGUUGCCGGCUCUAGUUCCGCCACUGGCU